AAGUUGUCACCUGUUAGUCAGACAUGCCAGCCUGACGGGCGCUGGGUGUGGGCACCACGCCACCACUGUCUGCCAGACCCACGCAGCACCAGGGUCACGGGCCACUGCCAGGGAGAGGGGAGGUGUGGGGAUGCUGCCGGAAAGGGAUGUGUUGAGCUGCCCUGGCCUUCAGCACUGGCCAGCAGGAAGGGUGGGUGUGUGUAAGGGGUUGUUAGGUAGGAGAGUGUCUGGUGUGUGGUUCCGUGUGGCUGAGGCAGGGAUGUGUCUGGUGUGGCCUAAGGAAGGGGUGUGGCUGGUGUCCCUGAGAGCAGAGGCAUGGGUGGGGUGUGGUGUGGUGCGUGGCUGGUGUGGCUGGGGCUGGCAGGGAGGGGUGCGGCGAGGGGUCCUGUAGUAUCGGGUCGGCUGUGAUGGCUGACGCAAGAAAUGUUUUACUUUCAAACCAAAAUUCUACGAGAAAGUCAAGCAGCUCCGAGGGUUGGCAUGUCUGGCGCCUUGUUAAUCUGUACUGUCUAAUGAAGGUUAUUAAUGUACGCGUAGGGCUAAACAUACAUUGGAAUAAGUCUACUAAUGCCUCCUAUCUUAAGAGUGUUCUCCACAGCCGUGUGACAUGCUUGCUGCUCAGCCACCUUCAGGCAAAAGCCAUAUGUUUCUUUUUGUCAUUGUUAAUACAUAGAUUUAUCUUUUAAGUUUAAGGUUUACUUUUUUAUUGCGAGUUUUACGCCACAACCAAACAUGUGCGUCUUUGUGCGUCAGUGUGCGCGUCACAAAAUGUCUCGUUCUCCUUUCUUGACAACCGUAAUCUUUGCAUGACUCAGGUCGCUGUUGUUUGGUAGUCAAGUGUGAGUAAAAUUGUCUGCGGCCGCUGCCAUGAGGCCGGACGCGGCCCUGGCCGGGGCUGGACCGCAGGCCUGACACAGUGUUGUCUUGGCCGCAGUUUUGACUGUAAAUUUAACUUGUCAAAAUCAGUCUUGGCAGCAGUCCUGGCAAGGGUUUGGGCUGCAGUCAGAGUAAAGUCUGGGCUGCUGUCUUUGCCACAGCCUGGACCACAGUCUUGCCUGCAGCCAGCCCUGGCCCUGGCCGUGGCCCGGCCCGGCGGUGGCCGCGGCGGGAAGACAGUGGGAGUAUCACUGGUGACGUAAUGUUAGCGGCGCCGUUGGGUGCGGCGGCAAGCAGCACGCAACAAACCAGCCUUUGCUCAGAGGGGUGUGUAAGGUUACUGUACAGUGGUGACUAGCCUAGAGUCUAGACCUUCACGUUAUUAAGCUAGUGACCUCGGUGGGACCAGCCAAACUCCAUUGUAAUAUAUCCAAAGGUUUUUCAUAUUUAGUGAAUAUUUCUAUAGAUUUCAACCUCUAUUAGUGUUUUUUGUUGAAGAGAGAAUAUUAUUAACGUAGGUUAUCAUCAGUCCAGGACAAAGCCAUUGUCAGGACCAGGAGCAGCAGCCCGCGCGGCGACGACACGAUGAUGACGAUGAUCCUGGGACACGGCAGUGCUGCCCGCCACCGCGGGGGGGUGUGGCGCAGCGCCGGGGACACUGCUGGGGCGGCUGUGUGGCGGUGUGUGGUGUGGUGGUGUGUGGGGGGCUGGCAGCCAGGGUGCUGCUGCCCCAGCACCACCACCACCACACCACCCCAGCACCGCAGCACACACACGGCACAGCACCACCGCCUGCCACAGCACAGCACAGUGGCAGCAGUGGUGGUGGUGCACCACAACACCACGGUGCUGGCGGUACAAGACACAGCAGUGUUCCUGGCGCUGUGCAGUGUGGGGGGCCCAGCACAGGGCGUGGGUAGCCCGCCGCAGCGCUGGGCGGGGCGGGGCGGGGCGGGGCGGGGUCGCAGCACUGCUGGUGAAGACAACAACCGAGCCCUCCAGGAGCAGUGCCUCUUAGCUUAGUGUCACUCACAGCCUUACAGUAGAUGCCUUGGCACAGUUGCCUUAGUGACGUGUGUGCGUACGUACGUAGCCGGGGCCGCAGCGCCGGGGCCCCGGACCUUGUGAUCAGUGUAUUCCACCCAAGGCGUUGUCGUCCUCACGGUAGCCUGUACGCAGCACCGCGGCGGGGGGGGGGUGACUGUUUUAAACUUGUUGACUCACAGGUGUCAUUCCCGUUGUUACUAUGAGUGCCGGACAUUAUUGGCUCGUUCAUUAGCGUUGUCUCAGGUUUUAGGACGCCCAAGUCCAUUUUUGUCAAGUUUACACAGCUCAGUAAUCUAUUGUUAGCCGGAGGGAGGAGGGAGUUUGUGUUGGGCCGGACGCCAGACUGUGGUGGCCGCGGCAACCCUGUGUGUGUGUGUGUGUGUGUGUGUGUGUGUGUGUGUGUGUGUGUGUGUGUGUGUGUGUGUGUGGCAGGUACAGUCAUGCUGCAUAAUGCUCAUCCUCGCGUCUGUCCGCCUCACCUGUCCUUCACACAAUCAGCAGGUAUUAACAGACUUACACAGACGUUCACCAGCCAGUCAUCGGGUCAUUCUUUAUUCAGGGAAGUUCAUGAUAAUUCGUUAGUUGAUAUUUCUGUGUUAACUUUUUUUGUUUGUUUCGUCGCGUUUGUCUGUCGAGGAUCUGGGACGCGUGCACAUCGAAUUUCUGCGUGUGUGUGUGUGUGUGUGUGUGCGUGAGGUUAUGUCUCUGCUGGUAAAAGAAAGUCUGCUAAUUCCACUCGCCUCGUAAACUCACCUUAUUCCAACUCUCAACAUUCCCUUUGUGUCGGUUCAAGAAUUCCAAACACUCGACUCGGUGUUUACGAGUUAAUACUUUGUCCUCAUUCAGCUUGUCGUCGGCAUAGGUAUGUCUGCAGUCUGUGAGAUGUCGCUACCUGUAAUUUGAGUUCGUUAGAGAAUAGAGGAAGAAAAGGGAGGAUGGAAAAGGAGGAGGAGGAGGAGGAGAAGGGGAAGGGACAUAGGGAACAGGAAGAAAGAAAAGUAUGGAAGAGGAGGAGGAGGAGGAGGAGGAGGAGGAGGAGGAGGAGGAGGAGGAGGAGGGACGUAGGGAACAGAAAGAAAGAAAAGUAUGAAAGAGAAGGAGGAGGAGGAGGAGGAGGAGUGACCCUCAGAUUGUAACAUUUUCCUUAAUUAAUCUACAUGUCAUUUUGGAUAUUACAACACAGACUAAAUUGAGGUCGUUAUAGAGCAGAGAGAGAAAGGAAAAUGGGGAAGAAGAGGAGGAGGAAGAGGAGGAGGAGGAGGAGGAGUGACCCUCAGAUUGUAACAUUUUCCUUAAUUAAUCUACACGUCAUUUUGGAUAUUACAACACAGACUAAUUUGAGGUCGUUAUAGAGCAGAGAGAGAAAGGAAAAUGGGGAAGAAGAGAAGGAGGAAGAGGAGGAGGAGGAGGAGAAGUGACCCUCAGAUUGUAACAUUUUCCUUAAUUAAUCUACACGUCAUUUUGGAUAUUACAACACAGACUAAUUUGAGGUCGUUAUAGAGCAGAGAGAGAAACGAAAAUGAAGAAGAAGAAGAAGAAGAGGAGGAGGAAGAGGAGAAGGAGGAGGAGGAGAAGGGACUCAGCAUUGAACCCUUACCCUCACAAAAUCCCUACCUCAUUUUGGAUAUUAUUACAACACAAACUAAUAAAAAUGCUUGUAAUUUGUGGAUGGCGGAGGCAGAGGAGGAGGAGGAGGAGGAGGAGGAGGAGGAGGAGGAGGAGGAGGAGGAGGAGGAGAAGUGAUCUGUUUGCAACCCUUCCCUUCGUAACAUAGACCUCAUUUUGGAUAUUACAUCAGAAAACACUAAAAAUACCAGUGAUUUGAGGUCAUUUGAAGAUAGAAGGGUGAAUGAGGAAGAAGAGGAGGAGAAGGAGGAGGAGGAGGAGGAGGAGGAGGAGGAGGAGGAGGACAGAGGACUUGCCAUAGCAUAGAACGUAAAAAAGAAAAACAGGGAAGAGGAGUAGGAGGAAGAGGAGGAGGAGGAGGAGGAAGAGGAGGAGGAGAGAGGAAUGUCAUAUCAAGCAUCUCCCUCAUGAUAUACGCUUCAGUACGGAUAUCGAGAUCACAAAAUACUCCCGUGUAAGUGAGUUAUAUAUAAAAGUAUUUACGUAAACGGAUGACGCCACGCAGAGAGCGGAAUAUAACCUUCUAACCGACUGCUUGCGAUUUAUUUGUUUAUUAAGACUGUGUUACGUUCUGUACUUUUCAAGAGUACAAUGCGUGUCUUUUUAUAUUUCUCAUUUUUCAAAGUUCAGAGUACAAAUGUGGAAUUUUGAUAUUUUGUGUGUGUGAGAGAGAGAGAGAGAGAGAGAGAGAGAGAGAGAGAGAGAGAGAGAGAGAGAGAGAGAGCGAGAGAGAGCGAGAGAGAGGAAACGGUCCAGUGCGAUCAUUAAAAUAGUUUCAACGUUCACUCGCUUUGCAUAAAAAAAAAGUUAAACAAUAGUAUUAAUAAAUAGGAAAACAAAUGCGGCCAUGGAAAAGUUUGGAGUGGAAUAGAUGACCUUAACACACACACACACACACACACACAUUAACACACACACACACACACACACACACACACACACACACAAAGUUGGUCCGAUAUAGCCAUAUUUUUGGGCACAAUUAACACCUCUAUCUCCCAAACUUUUGCCACACCGUACCUUUCCUAUAUAGAGUUCCGCCCUUUGAAGCCUUAAUAGACAUUUUUACCGAUGAUUUUGCCCUUUGAAGCCUUAAUAGACUCAUAUUUACCGAUGAUUCUGCCCUUUGAAG